rnacentral:rRNA from 1 species
AGUGAACGCUGGCGGUAGGCCUAACACAUGCAAGUCGAACGGCAGCACAGUAAGAGCUUGCUCCUACGGGUGGCGAGUGGCGGACGGGUGAGGAAUACAUCGGAAUCUACUUUUUCGUGGGGGAUAACGUAGGGAAACUUACGCUAAUACCGCAUACGACCUACGGUUGAAAGCAGGGGAUCUUCGGACCUUGCGCGAUUGAAUGAGCCGAUGUCGGAUUAGCUAGUUGGCGGGGUAAAGGCCCACCAAUGCGACGAUCCGUAGCUGGUCUGAUAGGAUGGUCCGCCAGACUGGAACUGAGACACGGUCCAGACUCCUACGGGAGGCAGCAGUGGGGAAUAUUGGACAAUGGGCGCAAGCCUAAUCCAGCAAUACCGCGUGGGUGAAGAAGGCCUUCGGGUUGUAGAGCCCUUUUGUUGGGAAAGAAAAGCAGCAGGUUAAUACCCCGCUGUUCUGACGGUACCCAAAGAAUAAGCACCGGCUAACUUCGUG